rnacentral:rRNA from 1 species
AGUGAACGCUGGCGGUAGGCCUAACACAUGCAAGUCGAACGGCAGCACAGUAAGAGCUUGCUCUUACGGGUGGCGAGUGGCGGACGGGUGAGGAAUACAUCGGAAUCUACUUUUUCGUGGGGGAUAACGUAGGGAAACUUACGCUAAUACCGCAUACGACCUACGGGUGAAAGCAGGGGAUCUUCGGACCUUGCGCGAUUGAAUGAGCCGAUGUCGGAUUAGCUAGUUGGCGGGGUAAAGGCCCACCAAGGCGACGAUCCGUAGCUGGUCUGAGAGGAUGAUCAGCCACACUGGAACUGAGACACGGUCCAGACUCCUACGGGAGGCAGCAGGGGGGAAUAUUGGACAAUGGGCGCAAGCCUGAUCCAGCCAUACCGCGUGGGUGAAGAAGGCCUGCGGGUUGUAAAGCCAUUUUGUUGGGAAAGAAAAGCAGCAGGUUAAUACCCCGCUGUUCUGACGGUACCCAAAGAAUAAGCACCGGCUAACUUCGU